GGUUCCAUAGUGUAGCUGGUCAUCACUCCAGACUUUGAACAACGGCUGCAGUAGCAUGAUAGAAAUCUGGCGACCGGAGUUCGAAUCUCGGUGGGACCU